rnacentral:rRNA from 1 species
UACGUAGGUGGCGAGCGUUGUCCGGAUUUACUGGGCGUAAAGGGUUCGCAGGCGGCCUUGUAAGUCAGAUGUGAAAGACAGCGGCUUAACCGUUGUAAGCAUUUGAAACUGCAGGGCUUGAGUACAGGAGAGGAGAGUGGAAUUCCAUGUGUAGCGGUGAAAUGCGUAGAUAUAUGGAGGAACACCAGUGGCGAAGGCGACUCUCUGGUCUGUAACUGACGCUGAGGCACGAAAGCGUGGGGAGCAAACAGGAUUAGA